UUCAGAGGAGAUGGGCCAAUAAAAAGUUGAAAGAUAAGAGCAUAGGCUUUAUAAAGAAAAAGGAAUGGAAUAAGAGAGUCAAAAGGAGAUAUGAGCCAUUAGAAAGGAUAAAAAACAUAGACUGUAUAUACUAUGGACAACUUGGUUCCGCCUUCCCCCAGUAUACGGAUUUGAAGCCGAAAAGCUCUCUGUAAUUCUGCGUUUUUUCUCUGUUUCCUGAAACCAACAUUGCGUAGUAGCGUUGUACGCAUUCGGCGGGAGAGUUGCUAAGAUUCGCUGUGAUGCAAUCGGCUCAAACAGCGUAUCCCACAGGUGAGCUACGCAAUCCUUAUACACCCAUAGGCUGUAUCAAUUGUCAAUCAUAGAAAACAUGAACUUCCUAAUAACUUUUAAAAAUGGAGCUGUACAGAAAAAAGAGGACUUGAGCACAAACCAGUCUUACAGUAACUACAUGUCAACAUCGCAACCAGGGGGGAGAAAAAUGUAUAUUCUGUGUAAUAAAGUUUGUCCACAGCUCAAUAGGGAUCGCUGGAGGAGGUGGGAUAUAUGACCUAUACUGCAGCCCGUCACCAGAGGGUGCUGCUCUCAGAGUGGCUUCACCCAACGAGGAGGCAGAUGGCAUCCAUUCUAUGUACAGUCUAUAGUAAAACCAUUUGAAAGAAUUAAAAGUUAAAGCAGCAAAAUUAAAGGUAAUAAAAGAAACUUAGAGCGUUAAAGUCAAAGGAAUCAAAAUCAAAGCAAUAAAAACAGAAAGUGAGGGAAAAUAUUUCAAAAAGGGAUUCCAAGAAUUUAAAAUUAGAUGAAAUAGAUCAGGGUCCUAAAAUCAGGAAGAUAAUGAGGUUUCAGUUAGUCAGCUAGUCAGUCAGUCAGUUAGUUAGCUGGCUAGUUAGAUCAUUAACUAGUAAAUGAGUUAGUUAGUUUUGGGUUUAACAUUUCUCAGUAUCUAAAGUGCCUUCCACACCUGACUGUUCCAAACUGCCUCUUUUUUUAGCGUGUCUACCUCUUCGUUUUGGAUUCAGGGUCAGCUCUCAUCACUUUUUUCUCUUUAGGAGUAGUCAGCGAACACACUGAUGAUCUUUUUCAUGUUUUUACCGUCUGUCAAAGGUGAUACAAACGAAACUCUAAAUGCUCCUGUCCACUUAAAUGACUAACAAAGCAGAGUUCUCCUUCUUAUGAAUAAAUGCCUGUGAAGCCUCCAUCCAACAACAACAGCCCUGACCGGCCCUGACCUUACCGAUCCUCCUGAAAAUUUCAGGCCCUUUAAGAUUUACAAAGGAGAUGCUUACACAGAGUCUGAUAUGUGUCAGAUGGAUUCAUGGCUGUAACGUUCAUUCACUUUUAUCACACCAUCCUCUUGUCAUCGUAUGAGGACCUGUUUGAAAGCUGUCCUUGAUGGUGCAUUCAUGGACACACUGACAUCUAUCCUGAAUCACCUCCAGCAGUGCAUGACGUUGCUCUGCUGCAAUGUCAGAUGACUUACCUGGAAAGAUCUUCCUCAUGUCCUUAAUUGUUCCCUGCUUGUGUAUGUGGGUAAAAUAAAACAUAUUAAAUAGACAUGACUUUGUAUUGGAAGUCACUGCAUCACUUCCAAAUCCUUUGUUCCUAAGCGUACAAUCAUGGAAAAGAGGAAACCAUUCAUAGACAUGAUCCAGAAAUGCCUGUGAUUUGCCUGAGCUUGAGCACAUUUAAGAUGAACUGAGCUGAAGUGAAAAACUAUCCAGCGGUCUAUGAAAUCCAGAUUUGACCGUCUAUUUGGAAAUCUUGGAUGCCCAGUUCUCAACUGUCUGCAGUCCUGAAUUGACACCCAUUGCAAAAGUGACAGAUACAGAAAUGUUGACUGCUGGACCCACAUUUUAUUUCAAACUCCAGAUACUGGUACUUUCCUUGGCCCCCAAAUUUCACAGAGUUCGGUUUUAAUAAGAGUUGAUGUGCGUUUUCUGAACAUGUUACUGGAACUACAUCUGAAAUGAGCAUAUAUAUUUUUAAGACAAUAAGAGUUAAGUUUUAACCUGUCUUUGCACUGUUUCUCUAGGUUUCUACAGUGUAUGAUUUCUGUCUAAAGAUGCAGAAAUCUAAAUAAAACCAGGGACAAAUUCAAAAAGCAGGACACCAAGCUGCCCUCAAUAAGAGGAUCUAUGAAUUCUGAGUGCAUGUAGCCUUUAAUUAUCGGUUCAAACUGGGUCUGCGUGGAAAUAAGGCCAGGAGUCAAGUUGCCAAUUUGCAAUUAUAAUAAUCCUCCAAGCCCCUUAAAAUGUAGAUUACAUAUAUUUUCCAUGCUGCUGUGUCCUCGUGUGAUAUUCGCCCUAAUUCGGCAUGAAAACAGAUUAAUGGCAGAGCUGCAGAUGUGCUCGUGUUGGAGGCGUGAAGAGCUCUGGGUGUUGAAAAUGUGCUGCAUCUGUUUAAAAUGUUAGCGUCCUAAAUCAUUUAGAUCACAACAUGUAAGACCACAAAUUAACACGGAGUCCCUGCUGUUACAAAGCUCCUGUAAGCACAGGACUAAUUCAAGAGCAGAUGCUUUAAUACGGGAAGAACUGAAAGUGGGAAGCUGCAACAUCUGUCCAGCUCUGACUGGAACCAGAGUCAUGUUUUCGUCGUCCAUGUUUGCUGUUAUUUCUCUUUAACUGCAAGAAAACCUGGAUUAAUGCAUCCAGUUCACCUUUUCUAACACUGACUUCAAUGGAAAUACAGAUUUAUGUAAGUUAUUACAAACAAACAGGCUCAGUUUGAACCCGAGGGGGAAGAGAAAUAUUCACUUUUAUAUUAAAAUGUCCCGCAAGUAGGCUGAUAGGAACCUGUUGCCAUGGUAACAUCACUAUUAGUGGAAUCAGGGGGAGUUUUUUAUUGUAACUACAUAAAUAAUCAUUUUGAAAUCAAUAAAAUCAACUCAGAAUUUAUAAUCUGGGUUAGCUUGUUUAUAGCUUUAGUUACGGGUGUAAACAGAGAGCAGGUCGGGGUUUCUGCUCACCCUGUCAGGAAUCUGAUUCACAUAAACACCUGUCAAAACAUAUUCGUCCUUCAGCUACAUUUUCAAAAUAUUAACUUUUGUUAUUUAUUCAAGGAAAAUAAGUCCAUGGUAAGUGUGAAUAUUCAAUAAAAAAUAAUUUUAUGAAUUUACACUUGUCCAUUCAGCGUUGGUACAAAUCAUUAGUGGUGCAACGAUAUUCAUGAUCGUGCAAAUUUUCAGUAGCAGAGCACGUAAUUCGCUGCUGAAUGAAUGUAGGGGAAACACUGCCACUAUUAUUCCUAAUCAGUCAAUGCACUGUCUAACUCAACACAUCAGCAGUUCAAGUAGGAAAUAAAGAAAAAGCUGUAUUUAUUAGUUAGUCUAUAUUUUAAAGCUUUUAUUUUGAAACUCAACAAUAAUGGCAAAAUGUUAAUUAAUUUUUCCCUAGAUCUGACUCCCAAACAGAAUAAGUCACAUGACCAUCAUGAUACAGACGGACAGACUUUUAUUCCUUAGCUGCAGUUCUCCCUGACAGUCAAGCUAGUUCGACUGAUGGAUCUGCUCUUAGGGAGGAAUGAAAGAAAAAUUCAAGUUUGCAUAGUUUAUUUUAACAUCUACCCGAAGCACACACAGUGCCGCAUUUUUAUUAUAAAGAACACUCAGUGAUUUUUGUCGAAGACAGUUCAGCUGUCAAAUAUAAAAUGCUCUCAAACUGAGGCUGCAGGUUGAGGAAAAGUGUAAUGUUAUUGUAUUGUACAGUUAAAAUACACCUUACGUCGCUCCCCUCCCCCCAGCCGAGUGUUUCUGCUAAUGUCAAACUGACGGGCUGCAAACCUCCCACAGUGCUCUUCGUAUUGACAGAUUUAUGACCCUGAUUAUUCAGCCACUUUUAGUAAUGCUUCGUCCUUGUUGCUGUUGUUACUCUGAACUAUUCACAGCUGUCCUUGGCGGUGCAUUCAAGGACACACUGUCAUUAUAUUCCUGUCCCCUGCAGCAGCAUAAUGCAAUCAUUGGCUGUAGAGUAAGAAAAUCAAAACAUGAAUAGACAGACAAAAAUAAAAAUCCAGAUGCCGUGAGGAGAGCUCCAUAAACUGGCUGUUUAGCAGCUGUCAAAUCUGAUCUCUUUAUUCUGAAGAUGCUGACCGAGAGAGUUUUUUGGAACAAACAUCUUUGAAAACAUUGAACCAUUAUCAUGCAAUAAUAUCACGCAUAAUGUGUAGCAUAUCUAAGGCACUUUGACACUGCUGUAAUACUCUAAGAUGCUUCAGCCUGAGCCAUUGUUGAGGUUUAGUCUGGGAAAUCCCUUUUAUAUGAUUACAUUUGGCCUCUGAGAGUCUGUGAUUAGACCCACAACCCAAACGGGAGUCUGCUAUCAAGAAAUAAAAGACUGUUGCUAUGGGCUGCUUAACAACAACCAAUCAGAUUCAAGUGUUUAUCACAGCUGUGUGAUGAAUACAUAAAUGCAUGUGCUGUUGUGGCCUCUAUUGUUCGAAUAUCUACCACCUGAUACAAAGCAUUAACCAUGGGUUGAUUGUGCAGCUAAUCAGGGAAUUGUCAACAUGCAUGCAUUAUCGGAAGUUUACGUAAAGUUUUAGAUUAAGCGCCAUCACACCAAAGAAGAUAGUCGUCUAUGGUUACGCUUCUGUGUUUCGACUUUCAUGAUGGACUAAUGCUGCAUUCGAGUUACCUUGGAGGUCAAAUGUCCGAGCUGGGAAUGAUGUCACACCCGAGUAACCAGCGUUUCAGUUACCAAGUCGGAAAAAAGCAAAAUCGGAGGCAGAAACUAGAUGGCUACAUCUACGAAAGGGGAUGCUAAAAUAACUUAAAAUAACAAAAAUAACAAGCGCUAAAAUAACUUUCGUAGAUGUAGCCAUCUCACUUCCGCCUCCGAUUUUUCUUUUUUCCGACUUGGUAACUGAAACUCUGGUAUCUCGGGUGUGAUGUCAUUCCCAGCUCGGGCAUCUGACUUCCAAGGUAACUCGAACCCAGCAUAAGGCCAGGAACUCUAGGCUGCUCCAGUAACUCUACCGCCAAGCCACUUGGGAAAUGUAGUUAAUGUUGCUACCUGUAAUGCCCAUCACCGCUCAAAUCAGUCCCCACUCUACCACGUCUGCUCUGCCUCCACGCUGCCUCUGCACCUCCAGUUUGCAUCAAACUUUGAGGAUGUGCAAAGAUGAAACAACAAAUAAACGCUGCAGCCACCAUGCGUUCGCUCAAAGUCUUGACAUUGUGAUUAUUGAACUUGUUGUUGC